UACCUGUAUAGUGAAAAGGAAAAUACAUACAUGUACAUUAGCCUAUACAUGAACACAGACAUAUCAAUAAUAUCUUCAAGCGAAAAACUUAACAAUCAUCUGCUUAUCUGCAUAGGGAAAAAGAUAAACAGCCUACAUUAUACAGUAGAUAUUGUACAAGCAUAAAGAAACGCCAACAACAUCGCAAAAUUAAUACAACAUUUUCAUGCUUUAUCAGUUGGUUGAAAUUAAGAGGUAACAAUGUUAAAAUCCUUCUGUGGCUUACUGAGAAAUUCAACUCAACUGCUAAAUACUUGGUACAUGUUGUUGCUUUUCAAAUUACUUGGUCAAAUUAAUUAUGUAUUUCUUGACAUGUUAUUUUAUCAACAUAGACCAGAUAAAUAAUUAUUUUUGUAGAGGCUUUUAUAUUGUUGUAUUGGAAGGUAGCCAUCCAAAAGCCGCUCUUUCUCUGGUGGGUGAGGGGCCUGUACCCAGCCGGUGGCCCCACGUUCAGCCGGUCUAUGUGUGUUUGAUUGGUGUGUGUUUUGGGUUUUCAGUCAGUGUGUGUUCAGUCAGUGGCCCUGUGUUCAGAAGGUGUGUGUGUGUUUGGCCAGUGUGUGAGUUCGUGUGUGUGUGUGUGUUCCGUCAGGGUCUCUCAGACUGUGUAUAUGGGACACCGUGGGGCAAGAGGAAGUGAUGCAUCACGAGUAUCAUGGGGUGUCCCCUCCAUUUUGUCCUUGAGCAGCACCGUAUCAUGGCUGUACCUCGGCUGUAGAGGAGAAACUCUGCUGCACGCUUAGUUACGCUUCAAUCUCAGCCUGAACCCAUCUGGAACAGGACCCUGACUGCUGCUAAACAGGCCUGUGAGAGCUCGAAGAAUACACACAGCAAGCAUUUCAUUGUUAGUCUACACCAGUUGUUUACGAAGCAUGUGACAAAUACAAUUUGAUUUGACAUACAUACACAGGCAGGCUGGAAGACAGAUACACACACACACCCACACACACACACACAAAUAAUUCACUGCAGGUGUACUGUUUUUGUCUUUCUAUCACAAACACACAAUGAAACCGUGCUAUUACGCAAUAAUAUUGUAACAAUUCAGCUACCAAAUUCUACUAUACAAUCAUUCUCACCAGUCUUAGAAAAUAUCACAGUAUUAAAAAGAUAACGAUUCAAAUCGGAUCUAUUCCAUCUCUAAUUUCUCCAAAACCUCAAAAAGAGCAUAAUUGUCUCUGAACCAACCAAUUCUUUCCAAGUCCAAAUAAUCCCCAACCAGUCAAACAAAAAAUGCUAAAAGACGAAGAAACACCACCCUUUUGCCCCUGUAUGUCUGUACUUCACAACAUUUACCUCAUUUAAAAGACACUCUGAUCGAGAGCGAUUUACAGGAGCAAUUAGGGAUAAGUGCCUUGCUCAAGGUUUUUCACCUAUAUCUACUUGGGGAUUCGAAACAGCAACUUUUUGAUUACUGGCCAAACGCUCUAACCGCUAGGCUACCCGCCGCCCAACUAACAAGGAGUUAAACCCAUUCUGACACAAUCCUCGUAAGUCUAGGAGCUAACGCACGGCGCUCUGCGCUGCCAUAACCCUGUGUAUAUUGGCGGAUCAAACUUGCAGCAGAGAGAAGAGAAGAGUUAGCGCUAGCAGGCAGGCAGUUAGCGCUAGGCUAGCAGAAUGGAGCCCAGUAAAAAAAACAAUAAUAAUAAAUAGACCCCCAUCUGCCCCUCUCAUCCUGGUUAACCCCUGAGAAACAGGGUCUGCCUUUUAUGUUUCACUUAAGAGAGUAGUUUGACGAUGCUAUGUGAACUGUUUUUUUUGCAAUAUAUUUUCAUUGAGGUAUUUAUUUAUGUGAGGGUAUUUGAAUUCAAAAACUUGAGAAAAGAAAAAUCAAACGCUACUUUUGCUGUUUACAGAAAUCGUUUGUCGGCAGUUCCACAGAGGGAUCAGGAGUGUGUGUGUGUGGACAUGAGGAUUCUGCAUGCACAGUUCCUUUAGGGCUGGCCAUGCUGGAUAAACAUCCUAAAGAGGAGUCCUUGCUCCCAUGUCUGAGGGGCGAGUAUGUGUCUGAAUUGUGUGUGUGUUUUUCACAUUCAGUGAUAGACCUGCUUCAGUUCUCUUAUAAGAAAACAAUCCCCCUCACCUCCUCGGCCACCGGUUUCAAGUCUAUUUUUGUUACGUGCACAAGUACAUUGAAAUGCCUUUCUUGCAAGCUCUUUCCUAACAACGCAGUAAUCAAUAUCAGUAGUACUGAGUAAAGUAGAACAAGAACACACGAGAAAUAGAAAUAAGAACACGCAAAAAGUAAGCAAGCAUCAGGGUCAGUUCCAAAAACACAUUUACAAUGGGCAGGGACGCUGGAGUGGUAAGGGUAGAUAUGUACAGGGGUAAGGUGACUAGGCAUCAGGAUAUAUGAUAAACAGAGUUGUAGCAGCGUAUAUGAUAAUUGUAUAUGUGUGUGUGCGUGUGUAUAGAGUCAGUAUGAAUGUGUAUGUGUGUGUGUGAGCAAAUGAAGUGUAUGUGUGAGUAUGUGUGUUGGAGUGUGAGUGUGCAGAGAGUCAGUGCAAAAAAACAAUACAAUAAAAGAUCAAUUCAGAUAGUCCUGUAACCUUUUUGUUAGCUAUUUUGCAGUCUUAUGGCUUCGGGAUAGAAGCUGUUCAGGAGUCUGUAGAUGUCAGACUUGUUGCUCCGGUACCGCUUCCCAAGUGGAAGCAGAUAGAACAGUCUAUGGCUUGGGUGGCUGAAGUCUAACAAUUCUCUGGGCUAUCCUUUGACACUGCCUGAUAUAGAGGUCUAGGAUGGCAGGGAGCUUGGCCCAAGUGAUGUACUUUGCUGUCCGCACCUCCCUCUGUAGCGCCAUGCGAUCGAGGGGGGUGCUGUUGCCAUACCAAGCAGUGAUGCAGCCGGUUAAGACGCUCUCAAUGGUGCAGCUGUAUAACUUUUUGGAGGAUUUGAGGGCUGUCGUGUUUCUUCACAACUGUGUGCGUGGACAAAUUUAAGUCCUUAGUUAUUUGGACACCGAGGAACUUUAAGCUCUCGACCUGUUCCACUCACUAAAGUGGGCCCAAUAUGGAUGGGCGAGCGUUCGCAAACUUGAAGAUGAUGAUGCUAGAGUUGUGUGGCCACGCAGUCGUGGGUGAACAGGGAGUACAGGAGGGGACUAAGCACACAUCCUUGUGGGUCCCCCGUGUUGAGGGGUCAGCUUGGUGGGGGUGAUAUUGCCUACCCUCACCACCUGGGGUUGGACCACCUAGUUGCAGAGGGCGGUGUUCAGUUCCAGGGUCCCAAGCUUGGUGACGAGCUUGGAGGGGACUAUGCUGAGCUGUAGUCGGUAAACAGCAUUCUCACAUAGGUAUUUAUCUUAUCUAGGUGGGUGAAGGCAGUGUGGAGUGUAAUUUAGAUCGCAUCGUCUAUGGAUCUGUUGGGGCGGUAUGCAAAUUUGAGUGGGUCUAGAGUGUCUGGGAUGAUGGAGUUAAUUUGUCCCAUAACCAUAACAUGCUCCGAGAAUGCGGCCUGGAAUACCGUCCGGCUCCGUGGCCUUACGAGUGUUGACCUGAUAAAAAACCUUACUCACGUCGGCCUCACAGAGUGAGAUAACCCAGUCCUCUGGUUCGGCGGGGGGCCCUCAUGCACAGCUUGGUGUUGUUUUUGUCGAAGGGUGCCGGGUUAACAAUGUGUAUGUACUCUGUAAUAUGAAAUUUCAAUUAUCUUACAGUUUCCAACAUAAUAAUAACCACAUGGGCACUAAAGUAAAUAGAAAACAAAUCUUGUUUUGCAAGAAAUUCUACCCGACAUACAUGUUCUUUCCCGUAUGAGGGUGAAGAAGGAUCUUAGGUUGCUUCCUGUGAGCAACAGCUGCACAUUUCUUUGUUUAUUCAAAUUUUAAUUUUUAAGCUCUUGCGGAAAAUAGUAGAAUAUUUAUGUAAAAAUGUAUGUAAAUAGUGAAAAAACAAAGAUGCAGUGCUGCAAUGUGACAUCAUCUAGAAAUAUGGGUGAAUGUCAAGUGUUCCCAAAGGCUGACGAAGGCUGCCGACAAAACGUGUCCGUUUGUUCUGACCUCUGCUGCUAAAAAAAUAUAUUAAAACUUAAAGAAUAUUUCAGUGAGUGUAGGUUUCUUCUUUCUUCAGCCAUAUGCCUUUUGAACCCUGCACACAAAUACUUUUUGUUACUACAAAUUUGAGCUGAGCACACCAAUUGCCACCCAUUCUGGCACUGCCAGGGUUUAAGAUAAGAAACGUAUGUGUGUGGGUCUAAUGAAGGGAGAGUGACAGAGCACACUGACAGACAGGGUGACUCAGGUCCCUUCACUUACACCCCAUUGGCUCUCCCAAAACGCAUCACUCAUGCCCUCCAGCCAAUCCCAGGCUGCCAUGUGGUGCUGGCCCCCCAUUGGAGGAUUGCUAUUUAGCAAAGUGCUCUCAGGCGAAUGAUGUGCAGGGUCCCUGGGAUGCGAGUGAAAUACCAUUUGAAAAAAGCACCAAAUUUCCGCUGCGAUUCGGGUAAAUGCUUUCUCUCUUUGCAUGUGCUGCUGUUUUUCCCAGUUAAAGGAGAAUAUCACAGAUGGGAGGUGCCAUCGAAAAUGUUUAGUAAAAGCACAGAAAAGGCCACCAUUUUAUGGUAAGACAGUGGGCGGGGGGAAACAAAAAGACUACACAGCCACAAAAUGGACUUGCUACAAAAAUCAUAUGGACAAGCUACAAAAAUCAUGUACUCCGGAAAAUAUAGCUGAAAAGCCUAUGCCACCAUAUCAGAAAACGAAUGUUGCUCCAAUUCUAAAUCCUUCUAAAAUCACUCUGAAGAACAUAAAAAACACGCCACUUCAUGGUAUCAGCAGCAUGUCCAUUAUAAUGGUCAAUUACUGAGAAACCGGCAGUCUUUUAAGUGACAAUAACCGGCUGACAAAAUGUAAAGACUGCCACAGCCCUAGUCAGUACUGGUCAGUAGUUGUGUGGUUUUGGGGUUGUGGUUAGCAGCUGUAGUCAGUAACUGUGUGGUUUUGGUCAGUAGUUGUGUGGUCAGCAGUUGUGUGGUUGUGGUCAGCAUUUGUGUGAUUGAGGUCAUAGUUUUGUAGUUGUGGUGACUAGUUGUGUGGUUCAAUAGUUACGUGGUAAGUAGUUGUGUGGUCAGUAGUUGUGUGGUUGUGGCCAGUAGUUGUGGUCAGUACUGGUCUGUAGCUGUGGUUGUGGUCAGUAGUUUUGUGGUCAGUAGUUGUGAACAUAGUUGUGGUUGUUGUCAGUAGCUAUGGUCAGUAGUUGUGGUCAGUAGAUGUGUGGUCAGUAGUUUUGUGGUUGUGGUCAGUAGUUGUGGUCAGUAGCUGUGUGGUUGUGGUCAGUUACUUCCGGUCACAACUUCCAGACUUGUCUCCGUGCUGCUGUUUGUUGGUACUUUGUUGCUACCUGACAACUUUACGGUUUUCAUUUUUAAUAACCGUUUAAUCUAAAUCUUUAUUUUACACAUUUACCAACAUCUUACGUUUUUUUCCCCCUCGCUCAACUUUUUUCAUUCAACUUUUUCACCCGGAUGCUUUAUCUGGACAUGGUUCUACAGGACCUCCACCAGCCGAAGCCAAGUAGUAAUAUUAAGCCAUCUAAUUGCAGUCGCUGUACUCAUAAUAUACAGGAAAACUAUCGCCUUAUGGUGAGGAUAGCCGUGCUGCAAGCCCAGCUUCAGACACAAUCGUUAGGCAAGGGUCAUUUAAGUGUAGGAAAGUACGAAACAGCAUCAGUGCCACCAAUAAGUACAGAUAGCAGUAUUCAUCCCCUGAAACAGUCCCCGCAGCCGGACAAUUUUCUCAAGGCUUCUGGAAGGAAAUGCUGUCGGAACGCUCAACUGGUGUCGCUCAUUCAGCCGACAUAAACUUUCAACAGGUUCUCCCCAUUAAGCAACGAGUCGGAGUCAGAGGCCGAGCCAUCUCUGGACUCUCCUCCACCCGUUACGGGGUCUGAGCCGCCGAAGCCUCCCACCAUUAGCUCUGAUAAAUUGAAAACCCUAGUCAUUGGCGACUCCAUUACCCGCAGUAUUAGACUUAAAACGAAUCAUCCAGCGAUCAUACACUGUUUACCAGGGGGCAGGGCUACCGACGUUAAGGCAAAUCUGAAUAUGGUGCUGGCUAAGGCUAAAACUGACGAGUGUAGAGAGGAUAGGGAUAUUGUUAUCCACUUCGGCACCAACAAUGUUCGGAUGAAACAGUCAGAGGUCACCAAGAAUAACAUAGCUUCAGCGUGUAAACUAGCUAGAAAGAUGUGUCGGCAUCAAGUAAUUGUCUCUGGCCUCCUCCCAGUUAGGGGGAGUGACGAGCUCAAAAGCAGAGUCUCACAACUCAAUCGCUGGUUGAUAAUGUUUUUCUGCCCCUCUCAAAAGAUAGAAUUUGUAGAUUAUUGUCCCUCUUUCUGAGACUCACCCACUAACAGGACCAAGCAUGGCCUGCUGAGGAGUGACGAACUCCACCCAAGCUGAAGGAGUGCUCUCAUCUUAUCUAUCAACAUAGACAGGGCUCUAACUCCUCUAGCUCCACAAUGAGAUAGGGUGCAGGCCAGGCAGCAGGCUGUCAGCCAGCCUGCCAGCGUAGUGGAGUCUGCCACUAGCAUAGUUAGUGUAGUCAGCUCAACUAUCCCCAUUGAGACUGUCCAACAUGUCUCCGGACCUUUUCACUGCCACAGUCAUACCUGGACCUAGUUUUGGAAUAAAUAUUGUGGAUAUUAACGUUUUCCCUCAUAAUGCCGGGCCAAAGUAACCAUCCAGCCAGGACGGGUUGUGCAGGCUUUACGCUCGAAACCUCCAGUGCGCCUCCACGGCCCAGUGUAUCCUGUGCCCGCUCCCAGAAACAGGCCUCCAGUAUGUCUCCCCAGCCUGGUGAGCCCUGUGGCAGCUCCACGUAUCAGACUGCCCAUACGUCUCCUCACUCCAGUGAUGAUCCAUGGCAAGAAGCCUCCAGUGAUGAUCCAUGGCACAAAGCCUCCAGUGAUGAGGCUAUUUAUGCUGCAGACAGUCUGUUAUAUCUGGAGUAUUUCGACUGUCUUAUCUGGUGUCCUGUGUGAAUUUAAGUAUGCUCUCUCUAAUUCUCUCUUUCUUUCUCUCUCUCGGAGGACCUGAGCCCUAGGACCAUGCCUCAGGACUACCUGGCAUGAUGACUCCUUGCUGUCCCCAGUCCACCUGGCCGUGCUGCUGUUCCAGUUUCAACUGUUCUGCCUGCGGCUAUGGAACCCUGACCUGUUCACCGGAUGUGCUACCUGUCCCAGACCUGCUGUUUUCAACUCUCUAGAGACAGCAGGAGUGGUAGAGAUACUCUCAAUGAUCGUUUACUCCUAAGCAUCAGUAGAACACGCCUGACUCUCCUCCACCAGUCAUACAAGGAGAAUGGUCUAAUGUCUCCCAUCAAAAAGAGAGCUGGCCCAAGCAAGCACAGGUUACACCUGAAGCAUGAGGACUUGCAGCGACAACUACGCAGACGAUAAUACAAUAGUAUUACCAGGACGCCACCCAGGACACAAACACUUUGGUGGAAAGCUCCUUCCAUCCCGUGUGAGAAAAGCAGCGUCUCUACAAGGAAUCAGUGACAACACUUGAGGUACGUGCAGUCGGGCUGUCUUCCUUCAGGAAUCUGUGGAGAUUCCUGAAGCACUAAGCCUAGGACAGACCUGUGCUGCCAAUGCCAGAGGAACAACUAAGGUCUUCAGAUCUGCAAAUCUGUCAGAAGCUGUUAAGUCAGCCAAGCUGAAAAAGCACAAGCUCCACUAGUCUGGACCUUCACUUCCUGAUCACAGGCCACACCAAGUUUGCCCCCGACUGGUGGUUAGACCUCAUCAAGCAGCUUCAGAAAGACCAUAGUGAACACUUUGUCUGAGAUUGCUGGUGUUGUGAAGGACAGCACAGUGACAGGGGUCAACAUCCCACAGCUGGUUGGACUGGAGGAUGGUACGGUGCUGGUGGAAAGCUAUGGCUGGCAACACCUGACUCCGUACUUCAGGGCACUGCCACAGAUCAAGCAGUACCAGCACUUCAGGCAGAUAACAUUUUCAUUGCAUUGUAUGAGGUUAUUCUUCUUAUUUAAACUUGGGAGGUGAAUUGAUGUUGUGCAGGGAUGUUAUGUCUUCUCAAUCUUUUUUGUUAUUUCCUGUUUUAAAGCUUUGAUGCUCUGGAGCCUGGUGGUGUUGUCACCAACGAGCGUUUGUACUCAGUCGGGACCAGGUUUCAGCUGCUGCUCAACGCUGACAUCCUUUCUGCCAUAAAUGGUCUGCCUGUACAAGCACCACCUGGACUGGACAUAGCUUGACAAACUUAUCUUUUUGAGAAGAUCAGGGAGUGUUGCGAUGAAGAGGCUAUGGACAUCACAUGCCCUGCACCAAAGUCAAGGGCAGGACAGAAACAGGCUCUCCGAAUAUAGAUUACCCUUGUUUAUGCGUGGUUCGGACAGACCAGUCAUCAGCACUAUCUGCAGUGCCUCUUUUCACAUGACUCUCUCCUAACACACGUUGCUGCUACUAUUUUUUUUAUCCCACUGCUCAGCCACUUUACCUCUGAUUGUAUGCAUAUAACUACCUCGUCUAUCACUGAUAUCGUUAUUGAUAUUGUUCUUGUACAUACUGUAUAUUAUUUUAUUUAUAUUGACACUAUCUAUUUUUGAUAUUGCUACUAUGCAAGAAACCAUUUGGCUGUACCGUUUACACCUUCUGUAGAGACCCAUCCACUUGGCAAUAUGUGGCUGGGGGUUAUAGCAUUUCUUUCACAUGACCAAUGACCAUCAAUUUAGACAAGUGUGUCUGGGUAAGCAUCAUCUAAUAUUUAUAAAAUAUUUUUAUCUGAA